rnacentral:lncRNA from 1 species
UACACCCGAUUAAAAAAAGGGCACUGCAAAACGCUGUCUUAAACCAGCGUUGCUGGUCCAGACAGAUGGAGUAAUUUUUCUUGACACCUCUCUACCGACUACCGACCUGUAGAAUCUCUCUUUGCUGUCUCUCUCUAGGAAGACAAGUAUCGUUUCCAUGCUUAUCACUUUUUUAUUUAUUGAUUGAUUCAUCGGAGUUUAAGCUUAUCACCUCAACUUCACACACUACCAUCUAGCUAAGCUUUCCACCGACUGUUUUUCGUUCCUCUCCAAGUCGCCACAAAAUGGCCGAACCGCCGACGAAGUGUAGCCAUCGUCACAG